ensembl:miRNA
UUAUUUGAAUUCUGAAUAUAGUAAGUGCUGAUUGUUGUUGUGU